rnacentral:rRNA from 1 species
GACAGAGGGUGCGAACGUUGUUCGGAAUUACUGGGCGUAAAGCGCAUGUAGGCGGCAGCGCAAGUCGGGCGUGAAAUCCCACGGCUCAACCCGUGGAAGUGCACUCGAAACUGCGCAGCUAGAGUCCUGGAGAGGAAGGUGGAAUGCUUGGUGUAGAGGUGAAAUUCGUAGAUAUCAAGCGGAACACCGGUGGCGAAGGCGGCCU